CAGCCGCCGCGGUAAUACGGAGGGUGCAAGCGUUAAUCGGAAUUACUGGGCGUAAAGCGCGCGUAGGCGGCUUGUUAAGUCGGAUGUGAAAGCCCCGGGCUCAACCUGGGAACUGCAUUCGAUACUGGCGAGCUAGAGUAUGGGAGAGGGCUGUGGAAUUUCUAGUGUAGCGGUGAAAUGCGUAGAUAUUAGAAGGAACAUCAGUGGCGAAGGCGACACCCUGGACCAAUACUGACACUGAGGUGCGAAAGCGUGGGGAGCAAACAGGAUUAGAUA
rnacentral:rRNA from 1 species